CUAAUGAGCAGAUGGGGGGCUCCAUGGGGCAGCAGAAAAAAAGGUGGCAACUGGCUGGAGGGAGCAUGCAGGCCAAUGGGGGAGAGACAGGUGAGGCAGGCAGGAGCAGGGUAACCUGGGACUGAUUCCCAGGCAUGGUGGCUGACGGGAAAUGUACCACCAUGGGAAGAUGGAGGUUUGUGGGAAUACUCAGAAGCAGUUACUAUGCAAAUAGGUGAAAACAGGACAGAAGGUGAGGUGCCAUGCCUUGAGGCUACCAUGUGGUAUUGUUUAGCAUUAUGUGUGAACAUAGCCAGUACCUCAUCUUCUGUUUAUGGUAAACAGACAUCCCCUUCAAGAAGUAAGCACAGAUCCAGGAAUUUAUCAAGUUUUUUAUUUUGUUUUUGUUCUGCAGAGUAAUCAUUGCGACAUUUUAAUUCGACAGUGUGUCAAAAGAGGAAAGCUGUAAAGCAACACCCAUCUGGCUUCCUAUGAAUGUAAUUGUGAACAAUGUUGCCAGAAAAACAAUUGUGUGAACAUGGGAAACUGAAGCAACUCUUGCACGAAUGGUGGAAGUUUCAGCAAUUUCAGAUCUAUGGCAGGCUUCUCCAAUCUGAUGCCUAUCAGAUGUUUGACUACAACUUCAUCUCCAGUCAAUGUGGCUGAAGAAAGGCUAGUCAAUGUUGCCUGCUGUAAACAAGCAGAUGUUACUGCUGUAUCUCACAGAAUCUGUCUGUCCAUUACCUGAAGACAGGAGGCUGCAACAACUAAAGUCACUAAAUAAUUCAACAAGUUCAGCACAUUGUUAUAAGAAAAAGUGCCAUUGGCCAGAGUAAGUAAACUAUCAUUGCUUGAACCAUUCUGAUCUAAAUGACUCUCCACUACACAUUUCCUGUUUUUAGGUUACAGGGGACUAGAAGAGAAAGCAGGCUAGUGAUUAAUGCAGAUUUUCCACUGCUGCCUGUUGGUCA